rnacentral:rRNA from 1 species
UGGGGAAUAUUGGACAAUGGGCGCAAGCCUGAUCCAGCAAUGCCGCGUGUGUGAAGAAGGCCUUCGGGUUGUAAAGCACUUUUGUUAGGGAGGAAAGUCUUGUAGCUAAUAACUGCGAGAUAUGACGUUACCUAAAGAAUCAGCACCGGCUAACUCUGUGCCAGCAGCCGCGGUAAUACAGAGGGUGCAAGCGUUAAUCGGAAUUACUGGGCGUAAAGGGUCUGUAGGCGGAUUAUUAAGUCGGAUGUGAAAUCCCCGGGCUCAACCUGGGAACGGCAUUCGAUACUGGGAGUCUAGAGUGUGCAAGAGGAUGGGGGAAUUCCUGGUGUAGCAGUGAAAUGCGUAGAGAUCAGGAGGAACAUCAAUGGCGAAGGCACCUUUCUGGGGCAACACUGACGCUGAGAGACGAAAGCGUGGGGAGCAAACA